AUUGCAUACAACCAGCUGAUAAAAGACAUGCACCGUGCUGUCCAACACUGAGGUGCUGCCUGGGCUUGGCAGCAACCUGUGAUCUGGUUGAGCUCAGUUGUAACCUGCCUCUCUCUGCAAGCCCCUUGUACGUAGGUGAUCCAUGUUCAGGUGGGCUCUGCCCAUCCGUCCUCCAUCAACCAGCUGCCUACAAAGGCACGAUGGCCUCUUCUCCUGGUACAGAAUAUCCCUGGAGGUGCCUUUCCCAGGCAGCUCAUGGGAACUGGGGUCAGAUACAGCCCUCUUCCUAUCCCCGUCCCUGGCUGCAACAGCUGGGAUUGUUUCUCUGCAAGUCUAAUAUGGUACGUGUGGUCCCCCUCCUGGAGCACUGCUGGGUGUAAGCUGAGCCCCAGAGCUGUCUGUAGGAAGCUGUGGUGGAGAGCAGUGCAAGGAUCCCACGGGCAUCUACUUUCCUGCUGCACCUUCUGCUCACACCCCCAAGAACUUCUGCCUUUCAGACCCCGCAGGAACCACAUUUAGGAGACCCCCAGGAUUCACCACACUGAAGCUGACGGGUCUGACAGACCACUAGGAUCACAGAAUGCCCCAAGUUGGAAAGGAUCUGUAAGGAUCAUCGAAUCCAACUCCUGCCUCCACCAGGAGCUGCACAACCAGAUAGCGUGUUGCUAGCUUGUCUUCGUUUAACCCAAGGAUGAAUUUGAGCCUUUUUGACUUGCAGUCUAAUAGAGAUGCUUUCUAUUUCUGCUAACAGAAUUUGCAGACAGGAUGUGGAAGUAUCCUGCCCUUCAGGAAUGAUGGGAUCCAUCUCUGUGGUAACGCUGAAUUGUUAGGUGGUGCUGUUGAAAAUGGCUUUUCUUCUGCUGAAAUACCAGUCUGCUGCUUCAGGUACUUUAUUUCCAGAGGUGACAUUGGAAUUUGCAGCCUCUUCAAUAAUGUCAGGUCUCUUUUGAAUGAAUUCUUGCCCAUCCACCUCCGUAGCUUAACUGUAUGAACUCAGAACACGAAUAAAUGAAUUCCAGAUGAGAGAUCUGCAUACCAGGAGGUAAGGGCUCUCCCGGGCAUUCCUAUGUGAUUGCUAGCUCUGUUUACUAUCCUAAUAUUUUUUUGCUAGCAGGUGAGGAAAAAAAUAAUUGAGCUCUUUCACUCCUCCUCCACAAAAUCACUGGCUUCGUAUGCAUUCACUGGCAUUCAUAUGCUUCAUAUCCAUAUGGUGCUCGCUUAAUUAGCAAAUGGAGCAAAAAUAUGCGUUUAGGUACCAGGGUAGGUUAGCCUGCUGUUACACUCCAUCCUCCAGAUUGUUUGCUGAAAUAGAGAGGAACCUUCUGAAGGGCAAGAGCACACUUUAGCAGGGCUCCCAAAGGGGAAUUGCCAUCGAUUGGAUGUGCACAGCUAGCAGAUAGAGAGUUUCAUGGUGCUCCAGCAGCUGAGUUAUCAGAUAUCAAAGAUACAGCUUGGAGUAGAUUUGACAUUCACCCAGAGCAGCUCACUGUUCAGUCUAGAUAACGACAGUUAGAAAAACAAAGUGAUUAGUGGAAUACCAUGGGCACACAGGUCAAUAAAAUGGUUGUUAUUAGAACAGUGAAAAAAUGCUGAGUAUUAUGAUUCAGGACAUGUGUAUGUGGACAUUUCUAGGCAAAUGCUGUUGAGUUUUGCACAGAAUGCAUUUUGGAAUUUCUCCGCUCUGAUCCCCCCUUUUCCUCUUUCCUUGCAGAGCCACAGCAAUCUCUUUUGUCUCUCAGUGCAGGGUGGUUUUUGUUUUUGUUCUUUUUCCCACAGUGCAGCCUGUGUCUUCAUUCUCUUUUCCGGAAGAAGAAGAAUGGAUGACCCAACAAUUAGGACCUAGGCAUCUGGCAGGUGAGGGACGCCUUUGGUAGGAGCUCUCCUCUUUCUGGGGCAUGUGCAGUGUGUCACUAAGGAUAUAGUUACAAGGGCUGAUGGCUUUGGCCUGAACUCUGCUCAAGGUCAGGUUUGCCCACCCUUUGACACUGUUUAGAAGAGACUGUGCCAUCAUCCCUGCCAAGCAGAGGAAAGUCAAGAGGCACUGGAGGCCAAUAAAGGACAAUGAAUCAGCCAUGCCACAGAGUGAACCUUGUUCUUUAGCAGAGCUGGAUUUCACCAGCACAAUAGCUAGAUUACACAGCCAUUUCCUCCAAUUACCUUCUCUGUCAAAUCUCUCUGUCAUCUGGCACUAGGAAAGUUUGGUUUAAAAUUCAUUGUGAAUCAGGGCAGUGACACCAGAGAUUUCUAAAUUAAUAUCCUGCCAGCAGGAAUUGAACUUGUUUUUUCCAGUUGUGUCAGUUCUGAUUCUGUUGCUUGUCAGAGAAAACUUUGGCUUGCCAUCUGGUCUCAACCCAGCACUGUGAACUUGCUGCGCUGUGGUGGCCUGGUGAUGCUUUUGCACUGGGCCCUUGUUGUCAUCUGGUAAAUGAAAAGCAGGAGAUCAUGGGCACAGGGUGCACUGUGUGAAGGAAAGAGAAGACACGACCUCUUCCCUGAAACAGUGGAAAUAUGCAUGCUUUUGCAAGUGGGGAUGACUAUGGGACAGAGAUCUUCACGGCUGUUAAAUGAAAUACUGCAGACCCACGAGGUAAGCUGCAGUGGGGUUGGUGGGAACUGGGAGGCUCUCCGUUUCUUUGUCCAGACUAUAGCAGUCAGACUGGGGCAGUCUCUGUAAAGAAAGGCUGGUGGUGCAGGUUGUCAAUGUAUGUGCAGCACUAAGGGAGGACCACUUAGCAGCAGGGACAGCAUAGGGCCUGGCAUGUGUCCUUCUCUUGGAGCUAAUUUGGGGUGCUGGUGAGCUGGCAAUGAAGAUGCAGUGUGCCUUGAGUGCUGACAGCACAGCUGGGAAAGAGAAGACCCAAAUUUGGAAAAAGGAGCCCUCAGUUCACUCUGCAAUGAAGGACUUUGUAGGAAUGCAAAGCUGAGUGCUACAUAGGUGUUGAUUAUUUAUGUCUCUUUUGUUGGCUGUUCUCUCUUGCCAUCUUCUCAUCUCUGUCUGUCCCGUGUCCUCCUCUCUUAGUUUCUUUUCUGACUGUCAAUGUGUAGGUGUGGGGGCUGUGGUAUUCACACAAGGACCUCUGCGAGGUUCUUGGCUGUGGUGGCCCAUGGUAACGUACUGCUGUAGUGGUGAUACAAUUAUAGAAUCAUUUAGGUUUGGAAAGACCCUUAGGAUCAAGUUCAACCAUCAACCUAACCCUGCCCAGCAGGGAGAUGCUGUCAGUCUUGUCCAAAUUCUUUAUUGGUAGGAUACUUUAUUACUGUUACAGUUUCAGGAUUGUUAGGGUUUACAUCAAGUCCAUAUUUUUUCCAGGGUUUUUUGGUAAAAUGUGCUCCAAAUGGAAAAUCUCUUUGGAAGCUUUGUACUGUUCCUAUGUUAUGCUUCAUAAUUUAUGCCUGGUUCCCUGGAGCUGGGGUUGAAGGCCAUCUACCUUGGGCUGACAUAAUGCAAGAAUGAUUAAGACCUACAAGGAGGGUUUCAGCAGAGUAUUGAGGCUGUAGUGGCUGAUGUGAUAUUGUUGCUUUCAUAGGUGUUCAGAAGAUGUGAAGGAGAUGCUGCAUGUCCUGAAGCUGGCCUGGUGGAGCUGAGAGCAGCGUGCGGGGAUGGAUGGACCCAGUGCUGCUGAUCUGUGGCAGUGAGGCUGUGCAUUGUACAUGGAGCCACUCAUGUGAUUCCUGUUGAGCCAAAAUAUUCUUUCAGAAAGUGAACUGACCAGAUGCCUUAUUAUUAUUGCUCACAAUGCUGUCCUCAGAGUACGACAAUCCAUCAAGGGGCUCGGCGCAACCCUACAGAAAAGUCCCUGACACAUUUUUACAGAAGGGCCAGGUUCUCACCAUUUGUGUGCAUUUGUAUCCCUUGACAAAUAGCAGUUUGACUUCAAUUUUGUUCCAAGUCAGUGGUGUCAAGCGCAGGGCUCCUAUUCAAGUGCCCACCAAUGGUGAUCCACAACUCACUGCUUCCUCUUUUUUUCUUGCUUCGUUUCCCUCUGACAGUCACUGUUUCUUUUUUUUUUCCCUUCUUUUCUCCUCACAUAUCUCACAGGUUUGUUUUAAAGACAGUUUUAAAGGAUGCAUCCACAUCAAAAAAUAUGCCUCUAAUAAGAACUGUAAAAGUGGCUCAGAACUAUAUGUGAUGGGGAAUGGCAUAGAUAUGUAGCUGAUAUGACACUUGAUUGUUUUCUGGUAAUUUUUCCAAGUCGAUUAGCAGACUGGCUAGCAAAGCCUUGGGUACAUUGAGAAAUACAGUGGAUUGGCUUGUCCUCAACGUACGGUUCCUGUGUUCCUAAGUGCUCUGAGCACGUUGGGCAUGUGGUAGAAUUAUUACCAGGGUAUCAGCAGUGCUGCUUGUCCUGCUGUAUAUGCCUUUUAGGCAAGACGUUGACUUCAAAUUGCUUUCUGAGUUAAACGUAUCCCCAAGAUCCCCAAACGUAUCCCAAAGAACAGACUCCAGCUAUGUCAUAUGAUGUAUGAACAUAUACUGCAAUGAUGUCCCUCUGUUUCAGGUGAAUUGAAGGAUGUACAGAAAAGCAAGCUGGUAGUGGAACCAGGGUCACAAAUGCAUGUGUACAGGUAAGGGGUGUCUGAACAUAACUUCCUUCAGAGGAAUCCAGUUCAUUAUUUAAGUGUACCACCCUGAAAGCUGUCUCAGUGGGAGCUCCCAGAGUGGAGAUGAAGUCCACACACAGCAGUCUAUGCAGACCUGGCUGUGUAAUGCCAACAUGACUUCUGCUGGUUAUUAAAUGUUUCGUUUUAUAAAUGAGGAGUCUUUCAUAUUCUCCAGACUGUGACUUUCUGUCAUACUUUUUCUUCUGACUUCAGCAAGUAAUUUGUGUUCUCAGAGAGCAUUUUCCAUCACAUGAGCCUGAAAUGGAAGAGGAUUUAUGGAAUGGAGAGCAUGAGACACCAAUUCAGCAAAUACCAGAGUGUGUAUGUAAGCGUUUGCAGGUCUGAGAUCUAAAUAUGCAAGUGGUCUUGAUCUUCUUAAGCUGCUCCAUACUGCUGACUCCAAAGGCUGAUAACUCCUGCAAUGGAGGGCUCUGUCAGAGAACAGACCUUCCCCAGAUCUUCGUGUGGAAUUGAUUAUACACUCUGAGGCCUGUCUGUAAUUUGUAGCUCACCAGGGUCUGCAGGCCAGAGGCUGAGGAGUGCUGCAUCAAAGGAGCUGAGUGCUGAAGAUGUGGCUGAGAUAGAAAUGAGGGUCUGAAGUCCCAAACUGGAAACUGCCCAGGCCUCCUUGCUCACCUCCCUCCUGAUGCUUGGAAGAACAGUCCCAGGAAAGCUUAAGCAUGAUGUGAAAAGAAGCAAGACACUGGAGAGGGGAAAGUUGGAGGUGAUCAGCGUUGGAAAAAGCUGGCAUGGAUACUGUGGGCGUUUGCUGGCCUGGCAAGAAAGACUCUCCCUGAGGUUCCUGUGUUGCUCUCCUUCCCCAAAUACAAGUGAUGCUGAAAUAUCCCACUGGAGCCCUGAGCCAUCUCCCUCAAGGCAGCCGCAUCCUCACAUCAACAUUAAACACCCUUCCAAUGGACCUUAAUACCACAAUGACCACACAAAUGAGAUUGUUUCUUCUACAGAGAAAUGCCAAAGAACCAUUACCAAAGUCACAGUGGUGGGAUUAUUCAUUCAUGGGCUUUAGAUAAGAACAUUGCUGCUGUGAGAUAGGGCGCUGCUCUUCCAUGGGACUGAGGGCUCCAUAGUGCAAAAGCACAAAGCAGCAGCAACAUCAAAGCUUUGGGCUCUAUAUUUUUCAAGUGGAGUGCAGCUGCAAGAGCUGAAGCUGGGAAAGUUGAUCAGAAAGUUGGGGGAGAAGGAUCUGGGUGGCAUCUAUGGGCAGAUUUCACAGAUCCAUGAAGGUGAUGGCUGCAGAGUAUUAUAGGUGGUGAUGGAGGGCUGAGAGAUCUGGUCUGCAGAAACAGGCAGUUGACUUUUUUCUCCACAUUGGUACAAAAGAGCACUCAUGUAUGUAUAUGUGUAUAUAUAUAUAAGAUGUAUGUAUAGGCAUAUCUCUAUAUCUAUGUCUGUAUCGUCUAUUUCCGUAUCAUUACCAAUAUCAUCGGUAUCUGUAAAUAUAUACAAACUGCAGGAAAUAGGCAGCUCGAAGACCAUUCAGGUGGAGUUAAACUAGGCAUGGUAUAGCCUGUCAUGUAGUAUCUUCUCACAAAAGCUAAACAUAAAUCAUUUUGAUGAACGUACUUUAACCACCUGGGCCCAUCAUUCCAAUCCUGUGGUUGAUCUAAUACUGGAAGUAAAUAACUCAGCCACGUUCUAUCUCCAUCCUUUGGAAAGUUCUCUUUCCCCCAGUCAUAAAUACAUGGGGCCAAGUUUUGUCUUCUCACCUAUGGCUGGGACCUACUCAAGGCAAAUGUUGGCUUUUGGUGGUUCCACCAUCACUACCCAUCCCUCUGCAAUAUUAAAAGAAUUGUGUUGGAAGAAAAUGGAUGCAUGCUCCUAUAAUGACCUUUGUUUGGUCUAGAAACAAAGAGAAUUUGGAAAAUGGUAUUUAUUAUGGCAAAGCAUUAAAAAUAAUAAUAAUAAUAAUAACCCACCAUUUAAAAAAAAUGGAAGAACAAAAUGUAACCAAGCCUCUGAAACCCCCAAAAGUUGUGGGAUUAUUUUUGGCAGGAAAUGAAAAAAUUUCCUUUUCCUUAAUGUUUUCUCUUUAUUUUCUCUUUUAUUUUUCUGAACACCAUGCAAUUUCCUGACUAUCUCUAAUCUGAGCAGAAUAAUCAAAAGGACGAGAGGGCAAACUGGGAUAGCUCCUUCCUGCAAGGAAAUGAUUUCCAAUCUUUAUUUGAAUGCACUGUAUCUUUGAAUGCCUUCCUGACAUCCUAGAUAGAAGUACUAUUCGGCAAAGGUCCUUGUUACAGAGAUAGGGGCUGAGAACAGAGGGAAAAUAAUGGGAUUGUAUGCAGACAGUCACAUAAAACCCAAAGCUGGAGACUAGCUAGGGAGAGAGAGCUCUGGGGUAAUUUUUCCUUUGUUUUCCUGCACACUGAUAUAAUCCAAAUAGUGUUUUAGGUUUAUUUUUUCAGAUCAUACCCUGGCCUUUGUGUUUGGGAGUACAAAGCUCAGGGCAAUUGCUCCCAUGAUCUGAUUAAUGUGGCUAGCUCUUCCCUUAGAGGCAGAAUUAUGGGAGUAAUUAAGGCUUGCUCAGUUUGCAAAGAGGAAAGGGUUUGCAGCUUGUAUAGAAUGGAGAAGGGGAAAUCUUAACAUCUCAGCUCCUGUACAUAAUCCUAUUGCUUCUGCCUACCCAGUCAAAUCUGGGUGAGAGUGGCAAACGUUGCACGUGUUCUUUGGAAAUGCAAAGCAACCUUCGUGUGAACAAAGCCUGCUCCUCAUUGACUGGCAAAGAAGUCCUUUGCUCCCAGAGCAUGCUGCAAACACCAUCCUCCAAGAACAGUGUUGGGACCACUUGCUUAGACCCUGGUUCUCAUUAUCAUUUUCAGCCACAGAAAUUUCCCCCUGCUGCAAGAGUCGUGGCGUGCUCUAAAGAGAAGAAAAUGCAAUACUUUCAUUUGACAACAUGCCUUUUGGUCAACAACUUGGUUCUGGUUUUGGACAGAUUUGGGAUUUUUCUCCUUUUUUUACAAUACUUGGGAACUUCUGAUGCCAGUAUUCAAUACUUGUCCAUACUUAUGAUCACCGUACUGGGAGAUCAUCUUCAGUAGCAAACACCCAGUGUAUUCUGUCCACAUAGCAGUAGGGAAACAUGAGCCCACAAUGAUGUUUUUGCCAUCCCCUCAUGAUGCGCUGGGGGUUCCCUCUGUGGAGAGGGUGGAAGCAUCCCCAAGCCACAGCCCACUGAGUACUGAGGGACGAGAUGAAAUGCCUUUGAUAGCAAGAGCGUAAAUAGCUCCUGAAUCAGCUGCCCUGGGGGCUGGAGAGUGCUCCAUCACUUGGGGUCACUUGGCUCCGUGCUUGAUGUGCAAUUCCAAAUGUAAUUGAUAGCUCGGGGCCUGUUGAUGGGUUCCUAAGUGUGCCUUUGCACGGCGGUGAAGAUGCAUUCUCCCUGCAGCAGAGGUCACUGGGCGAGGCCACAAAAAAGGUUGCAGGAGGACAAGGGGCUCAGAGAGAUGCAGGGGCAUCAGCCCCCCACCUCCAACAUGAAAGCCAGGAGGGAGAUGAGGGCUUUAUCCUGCUCCCCCGG